ACUCUCUUCACCAGCCCGAUGGCCACGAAAGACAUGUGCACUAUCACGCCGACAAGCACUCUGGUUUCCAUGCUGACGUGAAAUACAGUGUGCACCACAUCGUACCCCAUAAGCACCACCACCAUGACCACCACCACCAUAAUUGAAUAUUUCUUAACCAAACAUGAACACUUGUCAUUCAAGUGUUUUGAAUGUAUUGUUAGUUAAUAUUGUAUAAUUUUUCAUCAGAGUAAAAGCAGCAUUCGAUAAA
rnacentral:misc_RNA from 1 species